rnacentral:rRNA from 1 species
CCUACGGGAGGCAGCAGUGAGGAAUAUUGGUCAAUGGACGAGAGUCUGAACCAGCCAAGUAGCGUGAAGGAUGACUGCCCUAUGGGUUGUAAACUUCUUUUAUAUGGGAAUAAAAUGUUCCACGUGUGGGAUUUUGUAUGUACCAUAUGAAUAAGGAUCGGCUAACUCCGUGCCAGCAGCCGCGGUAAUACGGAGGAUCCGAUCGUUAUCCGGAUUUAUUGGGUUUAAAGGGAGCGUAGGUGGAUUGUUAAGUCAGUUGUGAAAGUUUGCGGGUCAACCGUAAAAUUGCAGUUGAAACUGGCAGUCUUGAGUACAGUAGAGGUGGGCGGAAUGCGUGGUGUAGCGGUGAAAUGCUUAGAUAUCACGAAGAACUCCGAUUGCGAAGGCAGUUCACUGGACUGCAACUGACACUGAGGCUCGAAAGUGUGGGUAUCAAACAGGAUUAGAUACCCCUGUAGUC